UACGAAGGGGGCUAGCGUUGUUCGGAAUCACUGGGCGUAAAGCGCACGUAGGCGGAUCUUUAAGUCAGGGGUGAAAUCCCGAGGCUCAACCUCGGAACUGCCUUUGAUACUGGGGAUCUCGAGUCCGGGAGAGGUGAGUGGAACUGCGAGUGUAGAGGUGAAAUUCGUAGAUAUUCGCAAGAACACCAGUGGCGAAGGCGGCUCACUGGCCCGGAACUGACGCUGAUGCGCGAAAGCCAGGGGAGCAAACGGG
rnacentral:rRNA from 1 species